rnacentral:antisense_RNA from 1 species
CUUGAGGGAGCCGAGCCACAGGGGUGUUUCGCGGUGCUGGCCGUACGUGGCCAGCAGCGCGUGGGCCUC